rnacentral:lncRNA from 1 species
CCCAGGUCCGCCUCAGCAAGGUGCCCGCGCCCACCUUCCAGCCCAAAAGGCCGGCGCGGAAGGGCAGCACAAAGGCAGCGGCCACCUGCGGAUACCCAAGUGGCCUUACGAGGUGGCCAAGGAGGAGAAACGAGAGGCGGAGGAGGCCGAGAAGAGGCGCCAGGCCAAGGCGCAGGAGAAGCGCCCGCCGCCCUGGAAGAAGAGGACGUGAGAGUCCGCGGGUGCUUGGCACGGGGUUUGAGGGCUGGGUGAAAAAUGGAUGUUUCUGAUACUGCCCAGCCACUACGGCACCACAACCCAUGCUCAUAGUCUCCCGGGAUGUGUAGAACGGCAAUGGCAGGACAGCAAACAACUGGCGAUUUCCCCAGGUCCCACGCUCUUGCGUGUGAGUAUGUUGGGUCCCUGUCCCCAGUGUGUUCCAGCCUUACCCGGGUGCACAGAGUACCCUGGGGCCAGCACAGGGCUUGUCCAGUGAUGCUCCUGGUGUUCACAAAACGGCUCCAGAGAUACCUGCAUUUUGAAAAGCCUGCCGAGCCAGCAAGUGUAGGGCAGGACCCGGAUUUCUUUGGCAAAUCUGAAGGUGAGAGGGCCACUUGCCUGCUGAGUAGAAGCUGCCUUUACCUGGCCAGUGUAUGCAACUUGAGAGAAAAUGACAGCUGCAUGGGGGGCUCUGGUGGGACUGGGAAGUCUGAUCUUCCGGGGAGCUGUAGAUAGUGAAUUUCAAGUUGACAGCUACCUUCUCAGGGAUUUAUAUAUAAAUAUAGUUAGAGGAAAAGCUAAAAUCUAUUUUACUAGUUUUUAGUGUUUGUGUAAAGUAAGCUUAAACUGGACAGAAUAAACAUUUCUCAGACAAUGUUGAUGCUACUGAUUACAAGUUAGAUGGCUGGAGCUUGCCCCUUGGUGGAGAAUUUCUCGGUGAUUGGAGACUGGGGACUCUGGCAGCAGAAGUGGCUUUAUGGUGGGUGUGAAGUUGCUUCUGCCCCUCUGAGUGGCCUCUCGUGGAUGUGAAUGCAUGUAUUGACACCAGUGAAAUCCACCUCCGUGUGCGUGGAGGUGGCUGAUGAGAACACAAGUGAGCCAGUCCUGGUUCUUCCCUCCAGAACCGGUCACUCCCAGUCUGACGUUGGAGCAUGUGAACUAAGAGUGACAUUUUUUUCUACUUGCUUCUGUGAAUAAAGUGUUCUACAGUCAGCCAGCACUAAACACCAGAAAGGAGGAGGGAACAGCGUGGAGCAAUUCAUCUGGAAUUACCUCGGUGUGCAGAGGCUGUCCCUUGGCUCCACUUGGGAUAAACAUUGUGAAACAUCGUGGGCCUCUUUCUUCUCAAGCUCCUCCUGACAGCCUCCUGGCAACACUAGAGGCCUCAAGACUAUAGAGAUCAGAAUUGC